rnacentral:rRNA from 1 species
AGUGAACGCUGGCGGCGUGCUUAACACAUGCAAGUCGAACGAGAACGGAUUAUAGCUUGCUAUAAUUGUCAGCUAAGUGGCGCACGGGUGAGUAAUGUAUAGGUAAUAUGCCUCUUACUAAGGGAUAACAAAUGGAAACGUUUGCUAAUACCUUAUACUCCUUAUUAACAGAAGUUAAUAAGGGAAAGAUUUAUUGGUAAGAGAUUAGCCUGUAUUGUAUCAGUUAGUUGGUGGGGCAAUGGCUUACCAAGACUAUGACACAUAACUGGUUUGAGAGGAUGAUCAGUCACACUGGAAAUGAGACACGGUCCAGACUCCUACGGGAGGCAGCAGUGGGGAAUAUUGCACAAUGGACGAAAGUCUGAUGCAGCAGCGCCGCGUGGAGGAUGACACAUUUCGGUGCGUAAACUCCUUUUAUAUGAGAAGAUAAUGACGGUAUUAUAUGAAUAAGCACCGGCUAACUCCGUGCCAGCCGCCGCCGUAACAC